rnacentral:rRNA from 1 species
UACAGAGGGGGCAAGCGUUGUUCGGAAUUACUGGGCGUAAAGGGCGCGUAGGCGGCCUGUUAAGUCGAACGUGAAAUCCCCGGGCUCAACCCGGGAACUGCGUCCGAUACUGGCAGGCUUGAAUCCGGGAGAGGGAUGUGGAAUUCCAGGUGUAGCGGUGAAAUGCGUAGAUAUCUGGAGGAACACCGGUGGCGAAGGCGGCGUUCUGGACCGAGAUUGACGCUGAGGCGCGAAAGCCAGGGGAGCAAACGGG